rnacentral:lncRNA from 1 species
CACCCUAAGCACCACCCGAAGCACCCUCCCAAGGUGAAACCCUACCCUAAGCCCAAACCUCACCCUCCAAAGCCACCAGUAGUUGGCCCUCCUAAACCUCCUCCGGUUGUCCCACCACCACUCCCACCUGUAGUUGUUCCCCAACCUCCUCCCUAUGUGAAGCCUCCGCCUGUGCCGCCCGUUGUCGGUCCACCCAAGCCUCCUCCGGUGGUGUACCCCCCCGUGCCGCCUGUUGUCGGUCCACCCAAGCCUCCUCCGGUGGUGUACCCGCCCGUUCCGCCCGUUGUCGGGCCACCCAAGCCUCCUCCGGUGGUGUACCCGCCCGUUCCGCCUGUUGUCGGGCCACCCAAGCCACCUCCGGUGGUGUACCCACCCCAGCCGUGCCCGCCGCCGCCGCCGCCGCCGCCCAAGGAGACAUGCCCGGCGGACACGCUGAAGCUGGGAGC